GAUCCUGGCUCAGGAUGAACGCUAGCGGCAGGCUUAACACAUGCAAGUCGAGGGGCAGCGAGUAGAUUGCUUGCAAUCUACGUCGGCGACCGGCGCACGGGUGCGUAACGCGUAUGCAACCUACCCAUUACAGGGGGAUAACACUGAGAAAUCGGUACUAAUACCCCAUAACAUCCAGGGAGGCAUCUUCUUGGGUUGAAAACUCCGGUGGUAAUGGAUGGGCAUGCGUUGUAUUAGUUAGUUGGUGGGGUAACGGCUCACCAAGACAACGAUACAUAGGGGGACUGAGAGGUUAACCCCCCACAUUGGUACUGAGACACGGACCAAACUCCUACGGGAGGCAGCAGUGAGGAAUAUUGGUCAAUGGACGCAAGUCUGAACCAGCCAUGCCGCGUGCAGGAAGACGGCUCUAUGAGUUGUAAACUGCUUUUGUACGAGGGUAAACGCAGAUACGCGUAUCUGUCUGAAAGUAUCGUACGAAUAAGGAUCGGCUAACUCCGUG
rnacentral:rRNA from 1 species